GACGAAGGAUGCAAGCGUUAUCCGGAUUCAUUGGGUUUAAAGGGAGCGUAGGCGGUCUUAUAAGUCAGUGGUGAAAUCUCCUCGCUUAACGAGGAAAUUGCCAUUGAUACUGUAGGACUUGAGUACAGUUGCCGUUGGCGGAAUAUGACAUGUAGUGGUGAAAUACAUAGAGAUGUCACAGAACACCGGAUUGCGAAGGCAGCUAACGAAACUGUAAACUGACGGCUGAAGGCUCGAAAAGUGCCGGGGGAUCAAACAGGA
rnacentral:rRNA from 1 species